AUCGCAAGAUGAAUCAAAGAAUGACGGGAGUCUACACAAGCGGGGAGCAUGUGUUUAUUCGAUAUACGCGCAGAACUUACCAACUCUGCAAAUAGAUUAAAAAUUAAAUUUAAUCUAAACAGGCGUUGCAUGGCUGUCGUCAGCUCGUGUUGUGAAAUGUUUGGUUAAAUCCUUUAACGAGCGCAACCCCUAUUAUUAGUUGCUAAUUUAUUUAAAUAAAUAAAAGCACUCUAAUAAAAAUGUCAAUGAUAGGUUGAAGGAAGGUAGGGAUGACGUCAAGUCUUCAUGGCCCUUAUGAGUUGGGCUACACACGUGCUACAAUGAUAAUUACAAUGAGAGGCAAUAAUGAUUAAAAAUUGGAGCAAAUCUUUAAAGAUUAUCUUAGUUCGGAUUAUGGGCUGAAACUCGCCCAUAUGAAGCUGGAAUCGCUAGUAAUCGCAGAACAGCAUGCUGCGGUGAAUAUGUUACUAGACUUUGUACACACCGCCCGUCACAUCAAGGAAGUUAAAUAUUUUUAAAAUGAUUUUUAGUUAUUUUAUUUUAAUAAAUAAUUAUUUAAUUUUAAUAAUUUAUAUUUAAGAUUUUAUAAUAUAUAAGUUCCUAAAAAGUAUUUAGUAACUUUGAUGAAGUCGUAACAAGGUAGUCGUAGGGGAACCUGUGGCUGGAAGAGCUCUUUA
rnacentral:ncRNA from 1 species